AUUGAACGCUGGCGGCAGGCCUAACACAUGCAAGUCGAGCGGAUGAAGGGAGCUUGCUCCUGGAUUCAGCGGCGGACGGGUGAGUAAUGCCUAGGAAUCUGCCUGGUAGUGGGGGAUAACGUCCGGAAACGGGCGCUAAUACCGCAUACGUCCUGAGGGAGAAAGUGGGGGAUCUUCGGACCUCACGCUAUCAGAUGAGCCUAGGUCGGAUUAGCUAGUUGGUGGGGUAAAGGCCUACCAAGGCGACGAUCCGUAACUGGUCUGAGAGGAUGAUCAGUCACACUGGAACUGAGACACGGUCCAGACUCCUACGGGAGGCAGCAGUGGGGAAUAUUGGACAAUGGGCGAAAGCCUGAUCCAGCCAUGCCGCGUGUGUGAAGAAGGUCUUCGGAUUGUAAAGCACUUUAAGUUGGGAGGAAGGGCAGUAAGUUAAUACCUUGCUGUUUUGACGUUACCAACAGAAUAAGCACCGGCUAACUUCCUG
rnacentral:rRNA from 1 species